CCUACGGGGGUCAGCAGUGAGGAAUAUUGGUCAAUGGGCUUACGCCUGAACCAGCCAAGUCGCGUGAGGGAAGACUGCCCUAUGGGUUGUAAACCUCUUUUGUCAGGGAGCAACGCCGGCUACGUGUAGCCGGACUGAGAGUACCUGAAGAAAAAGCAUCGGCUAACUCCGUGCCAGCAGCCGCGGUAAUACGGAGGAUGCGAGCGUUAUCCGGAUUUAUUGGGUUUAAAGGGUGCGUAGGCGGAAUGCCAAGUCAGCGGUAAAAUCGCGGGGCUCAACCUCGCUCCGCCGUUGAAACUGGCGCUCUUGAGUGGAAGAGAAGUAUGCGGAAUGCGUGGUGUAGCGGUGAAAUGCAUAGAUAUCACGCAGAACCCCGAUUGCGAAGGCAGCAUGCCGGCUUCCGACUGACGCUGAAGCACGAAAGCGUGGGGAUCGAACAGGAUUAGAUACCCGAGUAGUC
rnacentral:rRNA from 1 species